GGGCGAAUGGUUUAGUGGUAUAAUACUCCCUUAGCAUCUCGAACCUUGCUCUCUUCCAAGAGCCUCGGUGUCGAUUCGUUUAUCUGGGAGUGGUCCGGGGUUCGAUUCCCCGUUUGUCCA
rnacentral:tRNA from 1 species